UACGGGGGGAGCAAGCGUUGUUCGGAUUUACUGGGCGUAAAGGGCGCGUAGGCGGUCAGCACAAGUCAGUUGUGAAAUCUCCGGGCUUAACUCGGAACGGCCAAGUGAAACUGUCAUGCUAGAGUGCAGAAGGGGCAAUCGGAAUUCUUGGUGUAGCGGUGAAAUGCGUAGAUAUCAAGAGGAACACCUGAGGUGAAGACGGGUUGCUGGGCUGACACUGACGCUGAUGCGCGAAAGCCAGGGGAGCGAACGGG
rnacentral:rRNA from 1 species